rnacentral:ncRNA from 1 species
AACAAAAUAACAAAUUUUAUUUACCUGAGUGCAUAACGGGCUGACAACUCGCUCAGAAAUCGACAACCGGAGGCGUCUUGUGUGUACGGAUACGUUCGCAAGGGGGCUUAUUAAUGGCUGUGAGGCUAUCAAUGGAGAGAGCAUUCUCAAUCGAAGUCGGUUGUGCACAUAAAAUGUAUAGUCAAAGGCUUUGCAAACUUGCCGUCAGAAUAAUAGACGGUCUCUGUGAGACAAUAAGCCCAUAAGCUGUGAGCUGGUGCUUGCAAGCCAAUGUGGGUAAUACCAAAACAAUCUGAUAGCCACGUUGAAAUAAGGCAAGAAGCAAGAAAGAGUAGCAUAAAUCGUGAAACAAAAUUUGCUGAAAGUCAUGUGAAAUUUGCGGGCAUUAAUCUCGCGUAGGAUACAAACGGGUAAGAAGCUUGUGGGUCGCUCCUGCAAGCUCAGCCUUAUCCGCCUAGUGGCUGAAUAUGAUUAGAAUUUUAUGUGUAAAGCGAAAGCUUGAAUAGAAUUUGUUAUUUUG